AUCUCCGGGGGUAGAGCACUGUUUCGGCUAGGGGGCCAUCCCGGCUUACCAACCCGAUGCAAACUGCGAAUACCGGAGAAUGUUAUCACGGGAGACACACGGCGGGUGCUAACGUCCGUCGUGAAGAGGGAAACAACCCAGACCGCCAGCUAAGGUCCCAAAGUCAUGGUUAAGUGGGAAACGAUGUGGGAAGGCCCAGACAGCCAGGAUGUUGGCUUAGAAGCAGCCAUCAUUUAAAGAAAGCGUAAUAGCUCACUGGUCGAGUCGGCCUGCGCGGAAGAUGUAACGGGGCUAAACCAUGCACCGAAGCUGCGGCAGCGAACGUAUCACUUAAAACGAUUCAGAAGCUUACGAUUGACGGAGCGAAGCGACGUCAAAGCGUAUACAAAGUCGAGUCGGUUUAAGGAUACGUUCGUUGGGUAGGGGAGCGUUCUGUAAGCCGUUGAAGGUGUCCUGUGAGGGGUGCUGGAGGUAUCAGAAGUGCGAAUGCUGACAUAAGUAACGAUAAAGCGGGUGAAAAGCCCGCUCGCCGGAAGACCAAGGGUUCCUGUCCAACGUUAAUCGGGGCAGGGUGAGUCGACCCCUAAGGCGAGGCCGAAAGGCGUAGUCGAUGGGAAACGGGUUAAUAUUCCCGUACUUGGUGUUACUGCGAAGGGGGGACGGAGAAGGCUAUGUUGGCCGGGCGACGGUAGUCCCGGUUUAAGCGUGUAGGUGUGUGUUCCAGGUAAAUCCGGUUCACUUUAACACUGAGGCGUGAUGACGAGGCACCACGGUGCUGAAGCAACAAAUGCCCUGCUUCCAGGAAAAGCCUCUAAGCAUCAGGUAACAUCAAAUCGUACCCCAAACCGACACAGGUGGUCAGGUAGAGAAUACCAAGGCGCUUGAGAGAACUCGGGUGAAGGAACUAGGCAAAAUGGUGCCGUAACUUCGGGAGAAGGCACGCUGACACGUAGGUGAAGUGAUUUACUCACGGAGCUGAAGUCAGUCGAAGAUACCAGCUGGCUGCAACUGUUUAUUAAAAACACAGCACUGUGCAAACACGAAAGUGGACGUAUACGGUGUGACGCCUGCCCGGUGCCGGAAGGUUAAUUGAUGGGGUCAGCGCAAGCGAAGCUCCUGAUCGAAGCCCCGGUAAACGGCGGCCGUAACUAUAACGGUCCUAAGGUAGCGAAAUUCCUUGUCGGGUAAGUUCCGACCUGCACGAAUGGCGUAAUGAUGGCCAGGCUGUCUCCACCCGAGACUCAGUGAAAUUGAACUCGCUGUGAAGAUGCAGUGUACCCGCGGCAAGACGGAAAGACCCCGUGAACCUUUACUAUAGCUUGACACUGAACAUUGAGCCUUGAUGUGUAGGAUAGGUGGGAGGCUUUGAAGCGUGGACGCCAGUCUGCGUGGAGCCGACCUUGAAAUACCACCCUUUAAUGUUUGAUGUUCUAACGUGGACCCGUAAUCCGGGUUGCGGACAGUGUCUGGUGGGUAGUUUGACUGGGGCGGUCUCCUCCUAAAGAGUAACGGAGGAGCACGAAGGUUGGCUAAUCCUGGUCGGACAUCAGGAGGUUAGUGCAAUGGCAUAAGCCAGCUUGACUGCGAGCGUGACGGCGCGAGCAGGUGCGAAAGCAGGUCAUAGUGAUCCGGUGGUUCUGAAUGGAAGGGCCAUCGCUCAACGGAUAAAAGGUACUCCGGGGAUAACAGGCUGAUACCGCCCAAGAGUUCAUAUCGACGGCGGUGUUUGGCACCUCGAUGUCGGCUCAUCACAUCCUGGGGCUGAAGUAGGUCCCAAGGGUAUGGCUGUUCGCCAUUUAAAGUGGUACGCGAGCUGGGUUUAGAACGUCGUGAGACAGUUCGGUCCCUAUCUGCCGUGGGCGCUGGAAGACUGAGGGGGGCUGCUCCUAGUACGAGAGGACCGGAGUGGACGCAUCACUGGUGUUCGGGUUGUCAUGCCAAUGGCACUGCCCGGUAGCUAAAUGCGGAAAAGAUAAGUGCUGAAAGCAUCUAAGCACGAAACUUGCCCCGAGAUGAGUCUUCCCUGAGACUUUGAGUCUCCUGAAGGAACGUUAAAGACGAUGACGUUGAUAGGCCGGGUGUGUAAGCGCAGCGAUGCGUUGAGCUAACCGGUACUAAUGAACCGUGAGG
rnacentral:rRNA from 1 species